UACGUAGGGUGCAAGCGUUAAUCGGAAUUACUGGGCGUAAAGCGUGCGCAGGCGGUUAUGUAAGACAGGUGUGAAAUCCCAGGGCUUAACCUUGGAACUGCAUUUGUGACUGCAUAGCUAGAGUACGGUAGAGGGGGAUGGAAUUCCGCGUGUAGCAGUGAAAUGCGUAGAUAUGCGGAGGAACACCGAUGGCGAAGGCAAUCCCCUGGACCUGUACUGACGCUCACGCACGAAAGCGUGGGGAGCAAACAGG
rnacentral:rRNA from 1 species